UAGUCCACGCCGUAAACGAUGAUUACUAAAUGUCCGCAUAUGUGGGCGCUGAAGCUAACGCAUUAAGUAAUCCGCCUGGGAAGUACGAUCGCAAGAUUGAAACUUAAAGGAAUUGACGGGGUCCCGCACAAGCAGUGGAGCAUGUGGUUUAACUCGACGCUACGCGAAGAACCUUACCAGGGCUUGACAUAACAUAGAAAGUUUAAUGAAAGUUUUACCCUGACUAUAGCAAUAU
rnacentral:rRNA from 1 species